rnacentral:lncRNA from 1 species
GGAGCACCCAGUGCCACAUGCUCCUGUUCCCCCACCCCCCGACACCCCCAGCAUGCCUGCCACAACCCAGGUGGGUGGGAAGGUAUAGAAGAGAAGACCUAGCCACCCACCAAGCGAGGCUCCAUAGGCCUGGCACGAGAGCCUGGCACCACAGGGAGAGGUGAUGGCUGUCAGCACCAGGAGAGCAACAUUCCAAGAUUCAAGAAUAGCCCAACCACAAGACAAAGAGGCCCUCCCUGUCGGGAGCUUCUUCCUCCCCCCGGAGCUUCAGGGACACAUGUUGGGAGGCCUGCGGUUUCCUGGAACUGCUAGGAACAGGACCAGUUUCCAGGUAGACACCACAUCCCUGUGACUGUCGCGGUCUUCAAAUCCUUGCUGGGCACAGCUGGGUGGGGAAAGGCUGAUUCCUUGUGUUUGGGACAGCCAACCAACUGAUGUCAGUAACAAAAAAGAACCAGCCAUGCCACCACCUCUCAGAAGAGAUUCCAAGCUUUUAUUAUUUACUCGACCAGAGUGCGUGGCAAUGAGACCCUGGGCCUUAUAUAAGUGUUGACUGAGCCUGAAUCCCACUGUGAACUCCAAGAAAUGCAGAUACUUUAGAUGUACGCUGGUCACACAGUGUUGGGUUGUUCGAUUAUUAAAUAACAAUGUGCUGUGUCAAGACCAGUUGCUCUAGAGUAUCAAAGCAAGAGCGCUGUUCUCAAUUCUCACUUUCCUAAAUGAAGGCAAGACGUGGGAAGAGCAAUGAUGGACAUCAUAGAAGGAUACUAGGCACCUGAAGACAGAAGACAAUCUGGGCAGCAACCGCCUUAGUCAGCCAUCGGAGAGGGACAUGGACACCAGAGCGUGGAGUCUACAUGUAGCUCACAUCACUUGAACUAACAGGACAUGGAAUGGGCCUCAUUAACAUCUGCAGCUGCAUAGCUGGCACGAGGUCUGACCCAGGUUCUUCAACAAAGAUCUGCCUUCCUAAGUACUGGAUGUCUAAAUUACUCCUGGUGGAGGGAGGGAGAAGACAGCAGAGGAACUCUAUUC